UACGGAAGAUGCGAGCGCUAUCCGGAUUUAUUGGGUUUAAAGGGAGCGUAGGCGGAUGAUUAAGUCUGCGGUAAAAUGUCGAUGCUCAACAUCGGCCUGCCGUGGAAACUGGUUGUCUUGAAUGUGCACAAGGAAAGUGGAAUUCGUGGUGUAGCGGUGAAAUGCUUAGAUAUCACGAAGAACUCCGAUUGCGAAGGCAUCCUUCUGGGGCAUGAUUGACGCUGUGGCUCGAAAGCGCGGGUAUCAAACA
rnacentral:rRNA from 1 species